GCUGGGCAUGGUGGCACAUGCCUGUAAUCCCAGCAGCUCAGGAGGCUGAGGAUGGAGGAUUUCGAGUUCAAAGUCAGCCUCAGCAAUUUAGCAAGGUGCUAAGCAACUCAAUGAGACCCUGUCUCUA
rnacentral:sRNA from 1 species